UUCCUGUGCUUGCCCUCAACAAAGAUGGCGUCAACACUUCCUGUUUAAGGUUUUCGCCUUUAACAAAGAUGGUGCUUACGAUGCAGGUUCCCUAACAAUCAGGAUUCCGGUUGCAGUUUUUCUCCCCCGCCCCAAAGAUACGUGGUUGCAGACGGAGAAAUGGAGGCCAGAGACAAACAAGUGCUCCGCUCACUUCGCCUGGAGCUGGGUGCAGAGGUAUUGGUGGAGGGACUGGUUCUUCAGUACCUCUACCAGGAAGGAGUCUUGACGGAAAACCAUGUUCAAGAAAUAAAUGCUCAAACCACAGGCCUCCGGAAAACAAUGCUGCUGCUGGACAUCCUACCUUCCAGGGGCCCUAAAGCAUUCGAUACAUUCCUAGAUUCCCUACAGGAAUUUCCCUGGGUCAGGGAGAAGCUGAAGAAGGCAAGGGAAGAAGCCAUGACCAGCCUGCCUGCAGCUUCUAGAAGAUGAAUCAAUUUUGUGAGGACUUGGCCAGUAUCAAGGUCUUCAGCAUGACUCAUCAGCUCGUUGCUAAUCCGAGGACAGCAAAUGCCUGCAAAUGCUGGUGUCAGCCACGAUCCUUAUGAUGGGGAGGAGAGGAAUCAUUCGUUUUCUGCUCUACCCCACUGAACAACUUGGAGAUGACCUAAGGCCUCAUUACCUGUGUGGAAUAACUGGGAAUUGGAAGAUAAGGCCUUGUUCUGUUGCCCAGGCAAGCACAGUCAUAGCUUACCAUAGCCUCAAACUCCCAGGCUCGAGUGAUCCUCCAACUUCACCUCCCAAGUGGCAAGGAUUACAGAGAUAAAGAAACUGACAUUCCUAGGGAAUGAAGCCUAGGUCCUUGUGCCCCCAGUCUGGUGCUUUUUCAUUGGUGGCACUGUGGAGGGGUUGUUGAGUAUGUGUUCCCUCUGGGACUGACUGGAACCUUCCUCUUCCCCAACUGUGAGGCACGUGAAUGUUAUGGAAAGAACAGUUCUUGCAGCUGGAAGCCCCCGGUGAAGUUCCAGCUCUAUCCUGCAUAAGAAGCUUGUGUGAUCCAGGGAGGUCAUAGAUUAUGUUUCUCAACUGCUCCCGUGAACAAGAUCUCAUUUGGUCUCAACAACCCGUGUGAGAUAGAUAGAGAUGAGGAAACUGAGGCCAAAGGAGUCUGUGACUUGCCUGGCUUCACAGCUCGCCUGCAGAUUCUGAACCGGCAUCUUCCUCUCUCUGGCAUCUCCCAGACCCUAUCCUCUUUCCUCUGUACCAUUGGUUCUCAAACAAGGGUGAUUUUGCCUUCCAGGGGACAUUCGACAAUAUCUGGAGGUGUUUUUGGUUGUCACAACUCUAUGUAUAUGUGUGGGUAAGCAAGGGAUGGGGGGUAAUGUUGGCAUCUAGUGAAUAGACACAGGGACUCUGCUAAACCUACAAUGCUCAGGUGGCCCCUCACAAAGGAGUAUGUUGUCUAAUGUGUCAAUAGUGCAGAGGUUGAAAAGCACUGGUCUGUACACAGCUCAGCCGUCCAGGGCAACUGCAACCUCUGGGAGUUGCCAGGAGAUUUUUUGCCCAGCAAUAGGCUUGGUCUCUCUCCUGUGGCUGCCACAAGAGUUAAAGCCACUGUCUAGAAUGCCCUUUGGCAGUGGCCAAGUGUCCCCUGUGGAGCUGACUGCGGGACAUACCGUGCAUCAGCCGGAGCUGAUGUGUUUUAUAAUUUAUAGUCACAGGGCACCUGUCUUCAUUUAGCAGCAGGCCUGCUAGCAGCCUCCCUGCCAGGGAGGAAGCAAGUUCCACAGAGGCCUGCAGCCCCCGCCAGCUGACAGAUCAUGGCAUUUGGGGACAGCUUUUGCUCAGAGGCACCUGGGAAUAGGCCGGGGCCGAGAUGGCACUGAGUGCUCAGUCUCCCCUUCAGACCCAUCCGUCAGCAGCGGUCCCUGCCAGAAGAUGGCCUAUUGAACAUUUCCAGAAAUAGCACUGCCAAGCCUGUCAACUGCUUUCUUGGAAAUACGCUCAAUAAGGAUGGCGGUCCUCCAGCAGGGAGAGUAGAAAGCCUGGCCUGGAUCAGGCUCCCGAGAAAUGGCAAUGCCUGGCUACAGGCUAUGUCAGUGCCUUGGGAAAGGGGAGCGGGUCUCAUGGGACUUCCCAAGCCCUGCAACCUCUGAAGUCACUUCAGAAUGUUCUCAGUAUGGAGGAUGAGAGUCACACCUUGCAGAAGGCCUUAGGCCCUGCUGACUUCAUCUAACUCAGCGACCAGCAUAUCUUGCUGUGUUUGUUUAGACACCUGCAGACAGGAAGGCGAUUCAGGCUUGGAAGCAAGGUAUUAACUGUCAGCAGAGAGGGACCUCUGCGUCGUCUGGGGAAUGUCUAUUUGCAGUUGCUCUUCUUGUGAACUUCACUCCCAGAUAGAACCAAAGGAGCAUCAGAAGGCCCCAUCCUUCUGUCAUUCCAAGGAUAUAGAAAAUACAAGGCGAAGAUGUCAUCUUGAAAGAAAAGCUUGUAAUUUAUACUCCUCCCCUCCCCACUUCCCGCAGAAUUAACUUUCCCCCACAGAGGCUUGACAUUGCGGUUGCAGUUCAGCCACCCUCUGCUCCCUGAGCCUUCUCCAAUGUCUGGCAUGGCACAGUGAUGCCAGGGUUUAAGCAUGCCCUAAGAAGGCUAGCUGCCUUAAAAAAAAAAAAGAGCUCCUUGAAGAUGUAGGUGUCACUUAAAAGCAAGUGAUCAAAAUCUCUGUGCAAUUUGGGGUGUUCAGGAAAUGUUGGUUAAUCACAUUUUAAAAAUUAUAAGAGACUGCUGGACAUGGUGGCUCCCUCCUAUAAUUUCAGCACUGUAGGAGGCCAAAGCGGGAGGAUUGCUUGAGCCCAGAAGUUGAAGACCAGGCUGGGCGGAACCUCACCUCUAUAAAAAAUUUGAAAAUUAGCCAGGUGUGGUGGUGUACACCCCUAUAGUCCCAGCUACUUGGGAGGCUGAGGUGGGAGGAUUGCUCGAGCACAGGAGAUUGAGGCUGCAGUGAGCCAUGAUAGUGCCACCACACCCCAGCUUGGGGUUAUAGCAAGACCCUGUCUCAAAAGAAAAAAAAAAAAAGGAUAAGAUAGUUACCAAGUUUAUUAUAGAGAAUUCAUGGGGACCUGGUUUUAUUCCCAAGAGCCACCGACUCUCAGGACAAACAUGAUUUGAAGCCCACACUGAGCCAUAGGUGGAGGCAGGGCUGUGAGAAUAGAAUACAGGAUGCCCAGUUAAAUUUAAAUUUCAGGUAGGCAACCAAUUUUUUUUGGUAUCAGUGUGUUUCAAAUAUUAGUAUUUGUUUAUCUGAAAUUCAUACGUAAUGGGCAUCAGGUGCUUGUUCAAUCUGUUCACCUCAUUUGGGGUAUACGUUAAUUUGUGAAAUUGAUAACAGGGAACACUGACACAUAUUCAGCAUAUAUGGAAGACCGUACAGUUAAGAGAGGAGGAAGGAGAAGGAGAUUAGCAAUGAAGGGGGAAAGCAAGAGUAAUGCCAGGAAGAAGGGGAGAUGGGCACAGCAAAGGAGCAAAGAUCUGAAUGAAGGAGAAACAGGAAGUACAGAGGAGAGAGAAGAAAAGGAAAAAACAGGGAUGUUUCUGAGGAACAAAAAUGUUUGAUAAAUUAUGACAGUUACACAGAGGGCCAUCUCUCUGGGAAAUGCUGUCGAGCCGACUAACCGCGUUACCAGAUCCGCUGCUCUUUGUUCUGUCUGGUAAAACCCACAGUGACCUCUAGGGAAAAAUGAAUCUCUAAGCCAUGGUACUGUCAGCUGGGGUCACUAUUACCCUGGGCUCAGGUUGUUAAAUAAACUUUACAGGAGGCCACUGCUUUGGACAGAGUCCUUGCACUGGGCUACAUGAGAGUCACUGGUGCUACACAACAUGUGACCAAACUGAACUUUAAAACGGGCCAGUUUUCAGUAACAGCAAACAACAGCAAGUUUUCUUCAUCUGGGGUGAUACCUGAGGUUCAUUACCUCAUGCCAAAGAAAUCAAGGAUGCAGACACACACAACAAGUGAGUUUAGCCAGGCACAGUGGUGCGUGCCUGUAGUCCCAGCUACCCGGGAGGCUGAGGUGGGAGGAUCUCUUGAGCCCAGGAGUUCUGGGCUGUAAUGCGCUAUGCAGAUCGGGUGUCUGCACUAAGUUCGGCAACAAUAUGGUGACCUCCUGAGAGCAGGGAACCACCAGGUUGCCUAAGGAGGGGUGAACAGGCCCAAGUUGGAAACAGAGCUGGUCAAAACUCCCGUGCUGAUCACUAGUGGGAUCGCACCUGUGAAUAGCCACUGCACUCCAGCCUGGGCAACAUAACAAGACCCCAUCUCUAAAAAUAAAAUAAAAUAAAAUUUAAAAAGAGUGAGUUUAAUAAGUGAAAGAGAGAGGAGGGCAGAUCACCUGAGGUCGGGAGUUUGAGACCAGCCUAACCAACAUGGAGAAACCCCAUCUCUACUAUAUAUAUAUAUAUAUAUAUAUAUAUAUAUAUAUAUAUAUAUGUAUAUAUAUAAUUUGCAAAAGGGAGAGAAUAGGGCUCUCUCCUGCAGAGAGAGGGGCUCCCAAGUGGCUCUUCCAGUUCCAAGGUGAAAUGCACAGGGUUUUAUAGACAAGCUUGAGGAGGUGGUGUCUGAUUUACAUAGAGCCCAAAGAUUGGUUGGACCAGGUAUGUCAUUUACAUAGCAUGCAAAGAAGCUGGCCACCCCACCCUAAUUCUUUAUUAGACGGAUGGGUUCUCUACCUGGCCAGUGCCAUGUUGCCUGUUCCUUUACUGUACAUGUGGUUGACAAGAAAAGGGAAAAUGGAGCCACCAUGUUGAACAUGCCUGGCCCCACAGUAGCCUUUUUCUAUUGGCACAGCUGCCAGCAUUCAUCAGUGCAAGCUUCCAGCUUGCUCAUCUAUGUUUGCAGCUCGAAUUUUCAGGCUGCUCUUUGUUAGAAAGGAAAUUAUUUGGGGGCUGCUUGUCUCGAAAGGGUAACCUCGCUGAGGACUCUCUUACCCUCACUAACUGCCUAAAUAAUUUCUUUCUUGCUCCUGUAUCAAAAGGGUCCCCAUCCACCUGUUCAGGCAUGAGAAGGAAGUCCCCUCUUUAGAAACCCUAUAAGGAAGGUAACUUUGAAAUGACCAAGCCACUUCUUGUUCCUUGAUCUUGCUAUCCUCAGCCUUUUCUGCCUAUAUAAAACCCAUCUAUCUGCUCAGCUCUUCAGAGCACCUUUUCUGCUUUAUAGAUAAGACGCUGCCUGAUUCACGAAUGGAUAAUAAAAACCUAUUGGACCUUUAAACUCAAUGUGUGAAAAUGUUGUUCUUUGACAGGGUGAAGCCACAUCAAAGGCUGCAUCCAACUGCAGGACCUAAGGGCCCUCCCCGCUCCCCCGCCCCCACAGGCUACUAUCAUUCAUGGAUUGAGGAUUUUCAAAAAGUUGGGAUCGAAACAACAAAAUGCAUUUGGUUGCCAGGAUUCUAUGACAUGUUUUUGUUGUUGCGGAUGAUUCAGAAAACCCUUCAACCACUUCUUUCACCUCAGGGUCAGUGUGUUUGAGCAGGAGACUCAUUGUAGGCCUGUGUGUGGACAACCGAGGUUCCUUGAAUUAUAAACACCCUUAUUCCUGUCCCCACAGACAGGAGGUCAGGUUGGCUUAACCCAAAGGGAGAAGCCUGGGUGGGCUAGGGGUAGAUGCGGUGAGAGAGGAGGCCUCCCAAGGAGGGACCUGUAGUGGCUGGAUCUGCCAUCACCGGCGAUGUUGCAGAAUUGAAAAGAUGAGACAAGCUGGAGCCCUCCUUUUAGGGGCCCGUCGAGGAUGGAGUGGUGGGAGAUAGUCAAGCGUGGAAAUAAAGGAAAAGCUUGAGUCCCUUUAAGGGAAAUUCCAGGCACCUAGCUAGCUCCGAGGAGUUUAGCUCCAUGCUAAGACCCUAGUCCAGAUAAGCAACUUGAAAAGCAAGAAGGUAAUAGUAGUCUAAAACAGGCUGGGCAUGGUGGCUCAUGCCUGUAAUCCCAGCACUUUGGGAGGCUGAGGUGGGUGGAUCACUUGAGACCAGCCUGGCCAGUAUGGUGAAACCUCUACUAAAAAUACAAAAAUUAGCCAGGUGUGGCAGUGCUGCCUGUAAUCCCAGCUAUUUGGGAGGGUGAGGCAGGAGAAUCGCUGAAGCCUGGGAGGUGGAGUUUGCAGUGAGCUGAGAUCAUGCCACCGCACACUAGUCUGGGCGACAAAGCAAGACUCCAUCUCAAAAAAAAAAAAAAGUGGCCUAAAACAAUAGCCAAGGAAGCUAGAGUCACAGGAUGUUUGGCUCCCUAUAGAAACUAAAGAUAGCACCUUAACAUGCGUCUCUGAGUUGUGUUUCAGAAACCUGGCUCUCACUGGACUCAUCCUCCCUACACAUAGAUCUCAGAUAAGGUGGAACUAGGAACUGAACUCCCACCUGGUUCUUUGUUCUAAAUUUCAUCCUGAAGGGUCUAGAGAAAGUCACACCCCUGAAACAGAGUUAACCUUUAUUUCUGCUGACCCCAAAUUUUUAAACAAAGCUCCUCUUUCUUAAUCAGUUGCAAAUCAGAAAAGCUUUGCAGCUACCUACGACCUAUAAACUUUCUGCUUCAAGAUAGCCUGCACUUUAGGCCCUAACCAGUGUGUAACCUGGGUAUUGAUUUAUGAAUUUGCCUGUAACUUCUGCUUUCCUGAAAUUUAUCCCUGCCUUUCAAAACCCUUACCUGCAAGCCAUCAGGGAGGUGGAGACUUAAGCCUGGCUCUCCUUGCAUGGUGCCCUGCAAAUAAUCACCUUGCUUUUUUCCUCUGUAAACCUCAGUGUAAAUAUCUGGUCUUACCACACUGGGGAAGUGGACCCCUGUUAGAUUCUAUCAUGUAAUAAAGGGGCUGCCUUUGGUUACCUGGGCUAGGGAGUAGUUUCCCAUAAACUCCAGUGGGGAGUAGAAGAGACACACCAAAUGUCUCGCCAUGCUACCACCUCAUUCCAGAUACCUGGAGAUAUCUGGUUUGUUGAUUUGGGAUAUCAUUAUUACAACAAUAACAUUUAUGGAGCAUCUACUCUGGGCCAUUAGGCAGAAAGUAAUUUAUAUGCAUGAUCUCAAUUGAUCCUCAACGAAUGAGUCAGGAAUAAUACAGGGUGGAAAUGGGAGAAUAGAAAAUUCCAGGCAGCAUUUUCACAUGCCUUGCAAAAAAGAAACGCUUGAAAUAGCUAUAGAAGCUAGGGGCUGCUAGGACCCUGAAAAACCAGGGUAUGGGUCAAGCUGGCUAAGACUGACUGAACCCAACAUAGUGCUGGAUUUGACCUAUGUUUCUCCCAGGAUCUCAAUACACCCUCACCCACCAGCGCCCUGACAGUCCUGGGAACACCCAUAUUUGGUAUAAAAAUAGGUGGCACUACAGUUCCAAGAAAUCCUCACCUUUUUCUAGGAACCUUUAUGAAUAAUCCACCCCUUGGUUAAAGAAAUCUAUAAUGAUAGGAACCCCAAGCUCCACGUGAGUCUCUUUUAUGAGUACGCCAGCACUCCCUUUUCUUGAGUAUGUACUUUUGCUUUGCAAUCUAUUUCUGUAUCUAGCCAGGCGCAGUGGCACAUGCCUGUAAUCCCAGCACUUUGGGAGGCUGAGGCAGGAGGACGGCUUGAGUCCAGGAGUUUGAGACCAGCCUGGCAGCAUAGAGAAACCCCGUUUCCACACAUAUGCAAAAAUACAAAAAUUAGUUGGGUGUGGUGGUGCACACCUGCAGUCCCAAGCUACACAGUGGAUUGAGGUGGGAGGAUCACUUGAGCCUGGGAGGUCAAGGCUGAGAUCGUGCCCCUGCACUCCAGCCUGGGGGACAGAAUGAGACCCUGUCUCAAAAAUAACAAUAAACAAAUCUCCACACUGUCACUGUUGUUCAACUCCUCCUUGAUUUCCUUCUCAUGACAGUGCCAAGAGCCUGGACACUGGGUGGAGUCAAGGGCCCACCAUUGUUUGGGGACUUCUCCCAGCCCACCAGUAUCACAACUCUCUCAUGUUGUAGGUCCAAUAUUAUUCAUAUUACUACAGUGUUGCCCUAAGUCAAGAGAUGGAGAAAAUAGGACUGCAAAAAGUUAAGUUGUCUCAAAGUUAACUGAUUAGUGAGGGUUGGGGCUGAUGUUUGUCUCAGGGAUGCCUCUCUCCCAGCCCAGGGAUCAUCCCCAACCCUCCAGUCAGAGUAUUGGGUUCAAAUCCCAGCUCCAUUGCUCAUAAGCUUUGAGGUCUUGGGUAAGUUACUGAAUCUCUCUACAUCUGUUUCACUGUGUGAAAAGUAGUAAUAAAAAUAGGACCUAGCUCGUGGAGAUACUGUGAGGAUUUAACAAAGUCUGGGCGCUGUGGCUAAUGCCUAUAAUCCCAGCACUUUGGGAAGCCAAAGUAGGAGGAUCACUUGAGCCCAGGAGUUGGAGACCAGCAUAGGCAACAUAGUGAGACCCCCACCUCCACAAAAAAAAUUUAAAAAUUAGCCAGGCGUGGUGGUGCACACCUGUAGUCCCCACUACUUGAGAGGCUGAGGCAGGAGGAUUGCUUGAGCUUGGGAGGUCAAGGCUGCAGUGAGCCUUGAUUGUACCACUGCACUCCAGACUGGGUGACAGAGAAAGAUCCUGUCUCCAAAAGGAAAAAAAAAAAAAAGAUUUAAUGAGUAAGAACUAAACUCUGACUUUUUUUUCCUCUUGCCUAAAUUCCUAUCUAAGGGGUCUGGGGAGUCACGCCUUAGAAACCAUAAAAUCUCAUUAGACAGGUUUUAUUAACCUUUUUAAAUUUUUUUAAACUUUUUUGAUUGUGAUGGGGGUUUCACUCUGUUGCCCAACUGGUCUCAAACUCCUGGACUCAAGUGACCUCCUGCCUUGGCCUCCCAAAAAGUUGGGAUUGCAGGUAUGAGCCACCACACCUGGCUGUUUUAUUGAUCUUAUAUAAUGUGGUUACUUUACAACCUGACUCUGAUAUAGCAUCACAUGACAGAGAGCAGACCCUGAAGGAAACCAAAAUAUUUUACCCCAGUAUAUAUAUAUAUAUUAUAUAUAUAUACACAAUAUAUAUAUACACACACACACACACAUAUAUAUAUAUAAUUUUUUUUGAGACAGAGUUUCACUCUUGUUACCCAGGCUAGAGUGUAAUGGUACCAUCUCAUCUCACCGAGACCUCUGCCUCCUGAGUUCAAGCGAUCCUCCUGCCUCAGACUGCCGAGUAGCUGGGAUCACAGGCAUGCGCCACCACACGCAGCUAAUUUCAUAUUUUUAGUAGAGAUGAGGUUUCUCCGUGUUGGUCAGGCUUGUCUCAAACUCCCGAUCUCAGGUGAUCCUUCCACCUCAGCCUCCCAAGGUGCUGGGAGUGCAGGCAUAAGCCACCUCACCUGGCCCAAAAUAUAUUUCUUUGACAUAUUUUGAAAUGGCUGCCAGAGAGCCAACAGAUUGAAAUGACCUUGCAAAGCCAUCUUUUAUGGGGAAAUUUUGCAUCUGUAGAAAAUCUCCAUUAAUGUAGCCAGGACUCUCCCCUUCUAAGUCUUUCCCUGAUUAGUUGAGAGUCUGACACCUUUAAAGUCUGAGAAGAGGCAUUCACCAUGUAUUCUCUCUGAGGGCUACCACCUAUAAGGCUUCAUCUAUAUAACAAGAACCUUGGUCUCCACAACCUCCUUAUCUUAAAUCAGGCUUUCCUUUCUACUGAUUUCAAGGAUUUAAAUGAAGCUUGGUGAUAUCACACUUUUGGGCCAAUCCCACAUAUACUUUCCACAUAUUGAUUUGUGAUUUCAACUGUAAUUCCUGUGUUCCUGAAAUGUAUAAAACCAAACUGUAACCUGACUAGCUUAAUCUUCCUUUCUCAGGUCCUCUUGAGAUUGUGUAACCUGGGAUGAAGGUACUCAUGUUGGCUUGGAAUAAACUUCUUUAAAUAUAUUUUGGCAGAAUUUGGUUUUGCCAUCAACAUAAGUUUACAAGAGUAAAGCUCUUAGAACAUACCUGUCAAAUAGAGAACACUAAGUAUUAGUGCUAUUAUUAUUCCUAUCAUUGUUAGUGUUAUUUCAAUUAUUUCCAAGAAAUGAUAGCAGCCUAAUGGGCCAUCAGCUUUGUCCUUGGCAGGGUGCAGCAGAAGAGGCUGGUUCUGCCUCUGCUCUGGUCAUGUUCAUGGCAGUGAAUCUAUACAAUCUUCAGCCACCUCAGUUCUCGCCCCCUCAGAAGAAAGAAUUUGACCAAGGGAUAGAAGGCAAAGGGAGAGACCACAGCAAGUUUUAGAGCAGGAGUGAAAGCUUAUUAAAAAGUUUUAGAGCAGGAAAGAAAGGAAGUAAAGUAUGCUUGGAAGAGGGCCAAGUGGGUGACUUGAGAGAUCCAACUGUCCUAUUUGACUUUGACUUGGAGUUUUAUACAUUGGCAUGCUUCUGGAGUUUUCCAUCUCUCCUCCAUUGAUUUUUCCUUGAGGCAGGCUGUCCACAUGCACAGUGGGCUGACAAUACUCGGGAGGGACCGCAUGUGCAGUGUGUUUACUGAAGUUGUGCACAUGCUCACUUGAGGCAUUUUCAUUUAUCAGUUGAGCAUUCUUAGAGGAAGCUCAUAGGUUAUAUACCAAUUAAACUCCACCAUUUUGCCUCUUCGUGUACAUGCUCAAGCCUGCUUGCCCAACUCCUGAGAUCUUACUGGGAAGCGGCUGAUCACCCACUUCAGGUGUUUUUCAUCUAUCAGGAGACUGCCAAUAGAUGUAUUGGGUGCUGUCUGUGAUCAAUUAUUUUUUAGAGAGAUGUUUUAACAACCACUCAACUAUCACCUGAUGGUCGCCUGACAUUCCUGGGGGGAGGGUGCCCUCUCCUGCCAUGCUCAUGUCUGCCUAACUGCCCACUUUAUCAGUUUAGUUUUUGUGGUUUACACAAGUGUCAUUGUUCAGGUGACAUUUUAAUAUUCUUAUACUUGUGAACAAGGUACAAGGCUUCCUUAAGUCUACCAAGUUUUUAUUCAUAGAAAGAUGACUCAGAAGGCUCAAUUUUUCUGAAUUUACCUUUUAUCUCUGCUUUUUAAUAAUAACUCUUUUAGGCUAUGCAGGAGAGGCUAGACAAUGCUGCAGUAAAAAUAAAGCUCUGAAAUCACAAUGAUGUAUCAGAACAAUUGCUUUUCCCCUCAUAGAAUGUCUAGGAAAGCUUUCCUCCAUGCAUUGACUCAGGGUUCCAGGCUGUUUCCACCUUGUGGCUCAUCAAAGGCUUUCAUGGUCACAGCCAAAUGAAAUGGGAGAUGUGGAGGGACUCUCCUAGUGAAUCGCCUUGGCCUACAUUUACACACACCUCUUCUAUUCGAAGUCCAUUAGUCAGACUUGUCACAUGGCUCCAGCCACAGCAGGUGAGGAAGUAGGAGGACACAUGGAUUUUCUCUUCCCAGCACCCUAAUGGUCUCUACCUCAAUAUACAAACCCAGCUUGUAGCCGCUAGUAAAGAACUGCUAGUUACUUCAUUAAUCAAGUCAUGAGAACCUUUUUCUUAUUAAUUAUGGUCUUGUAUGUAUUUGAUUGAGACAUCUUUAAUUUAGUUACUCUUUCAAUAAAUAUUUAUUAAGUAUUUCCUCUCUACAGGCACUUUUGGGCCCUGGGGGUAUGUCAGUAAGUGCAACAGAACAAAGCCACUGCCUUCAUAGAACAAGCAUUCCAAUGGGAAAUGGUGAAAGACAGAUAAUUAACCCAAAACAAAGAAAGCAAUAUAUUAGGUGUUAAUAUGUGCAACAGAGAAAAGAAAACAGGGAAGAGGUUCAAGACACAAGUGUGUGUAUCUGUGUAUUUGUGUAUAUUGAGGGAGCAACUAAAUAAGAUGGUUAGUAAAGAACUUCCUGCAAAUGUAACAUUUGAGCAAACACCCAAGGAGGCAGGAGCGCCUCGGGAGGUAAAAACCAUCUGAGAAGGGGAAGAAGGAAGUGCGAAGGCCCUGAGGCAGGAGAGUGCCUGGCAUGCUCAGGGGCAGUGAGGACGUCUGUGUCUGAGGAGGAGAGGUGUGGAACAUGAAGUCAGGAAGCCGAUGGGGUCAGGAUAUACUCACCCUGGAGGGUCUUGUAGCCUGUAUAAGGAUUUUGCUUUUACUCUUGCUUAAAAACCUCCAUUUUCUUCCCACUUCCCAAUAUACACACUAUACAUCUGUCCGUUCCCCUACAGCAAUGGUUCUCAAAUUUCAACUAGCAUUAGAAUCACCUAGAAGGUUAAAAUCAGACUGCCCGCAUCAAUGGGACUAGUGCCCUUAAAAAAGAGGCCCCAGGGCCGGGCGCGGUGGCUCAAGCCUGUAAUCCCAGCACUUUGGGAGGCCGAGGCGGGUGGAUCACAAGGUCAAGAGAUCAAGACCAUCCUGGUCAACAUGUUGAAACCCCGUCUCUACUAAAAAUACAAAAAAAAUUAGCUGGGCAUGGUGGCGCAUGCCUGUAAUCCCAGCUACUCGGGAGGCUGAGGCAGGAGAAUUGCCUGAACCCAGGAGGUGGAGGUUGUCAGUGAGCCGAGAUUGCGCCAUUGCAUUCCAACCUGGGUAACAAGAGCGAAACUCCGUCUCAAAAAAAAAAAAAAAAAAAGAGGCCCCAGGGAGCUGCCUUGCCCCUUCCACUGUGCAAGGAUGUGAUAAGAAGCCGCCAUCUAUGAACUAAGAAUAGGGCUCUCCCCAGAAGACAGAUCCCUAUUCCUCACUGCCCCUCACCAUGCCAGGCACUCUCCUGCCUCAGGGCCUUUGCACUCACUGCUUCCCCUUCUCAGAUGGCUUUUACCCCAGAGCUCUCCUGCCUCCUUUGGGUGUUCGCUCAAAUGUCACAUUUGCAGGAAGUUCUUCACUAACCAUCCUAUUUUGCUGCUUCAGUACACACAAACAAACCAACACACACACUUGCAUUUUGAACCACCUUCUGUAUUUUAAUUUUUCCAUUGCACUUAUCAACAUGAUAUCUGGCUGGGCACAGUGGCUCAAACCUGUAAUCCCAGCACUUUAGGAGGCUGAGGCAGGUGGAUCACUUGAGGUCAGAAGUUUGAGACCAGGCUGGCCAGCAAGGUGAAAUCUUAUCUCUACUAAAAAUACAAAACAUAGCUAGGCGUGGUGGUAGACACCUGUAGUCCCAACUACUUGGGAGGCUGAGGCAGGAGAAUCGCUUGAACCCUGGAGGCAGAGGUGGCAGUGAGCCAAGAAUGCACCACUGUACUCCAGGCUGGGCAAUAGAGUGAAAUGCCAUCUCAAAAAAAAAAAAAAAAAAAAAAAAAAAAAUCAAAUCUGCCGGUUUCUUAUCUUGGACUUCCUAGUCUUCAGAACUAUGAGAAAUAGGUAUUUGUUGUUUCAGCCACCCAGCUUAUGAUAUUUUCUUAUGGCACCUGAGUGAACUAAGACACUAAGUGAUGCUGAUGCUACGGGAACCACACUUUGAGAACCGCUGCUCUAGUGAGACAAGCUCCCUCUUGCUUUCUACUUCCUCACGAAAACCUGCUCUGAUUUUUGGACAAGGCCAGCUACAUAAUUUUUGAUGCUCAGUCAAAAUGAAAAUGCAAGCCGCCUGUUCAGAAAGGCAGGGGGAAAAAGGGCAGUAAAAGAUACUAAAAUAUCACAAUUAUCUUUCUAAAAUAUUUUAUAGGUAGAGCAUCCCUAAUUCAAAAAUCCAAAAUAUGAAAUGUUUUAAAAUUCAAAACUUUUUGAGCACUGAUAUGACACUCAAAAUGCCCUAAUGAGCAUUUCAAGUUUUAGGUGUUCAGAUUUAGGAUGCUCAACCAGUAAGUAAGUACAGUGCAAAUAUUCCAAAAUCUGAAAUCCCAAGCAUUUCAGAUCAGGGGUAUUUAAUACACUACAUCGUUUAAAAAAUGUAAUGAGAGUAAUAAUGGCACAUGGAUAAAACACAAGUUUUUAAAUGGCCAAAAAAUAUUUUUGGUGUUAUAAGUUUAUAUAACAGUAUGUUUUAUUAAUGUGAUAUUAUAGUUAAUCCGUCUUGCUUUCCUGGAUAUUCAUUCAUUUCUCAUAUGUUUCCUUGCAUAUUUAUUUAUUAGAUCAUAAAAAUGUGUAUUUUUAGCAACUUAAUUUUCAGUUGACAUAAUAUAAAGCAAUGUCAGUUGCUAUUGGCAAUGCAAGAUCAUGAAUACUUUUUGAUAAAUUUAAUUUUGACAAGAUCUACUGAUCCAACUCUCACUGGAAUAACAUUAUUUUAUAGGCUAUAACAACAUUGGGAUACAUUUCUGAUAAAUUAUUUUGAAAUAUGAAUUUUAGUACAUCUAGAGGUGAUGAUACCUAUAGAACUAUUUUCUAAAAAGGUUUAACUCUUCAUGGAAAUCAGUGUCUUAUCAAUCUGAAUUUAAUUGUACAUGUAAAUUUUAAAAUUCAUUAAUAUUUCCUCCAGCAGUUCCUGCAAGUUGUGGCAGCUACACAAGAAACAACAACAAAAAGGCUUCAUAAUUUGUAUAUAAUUCAAGACAUUGUUUACGCAUUCUAUCACUGUAUCUUCAAAUAUAAGGAUAUUUCAUUUUUAAAUUGUCUUGCUAAUUCUUGGUAUAUCUGGGGUUUUUCUGUGAAUAAUAAUGUUCUUUUCUGUUGAAUAGGAUAACCUUUCAAUUUAAUUUCUAUUUCCAAGCCUGUGGAUAUUUGGUUUGCAGUGUUGCAAUGGUUUUCAAAACUCUUUGAAGAAUUUUAAUAACUCCCUAAAUGCUUUAUUACAAUGUCCAUGUGUAAAUCCUUGUUUUAUAAUAAUUUGUGGACAAACUUUGCUGCCUGAGCACCAGCAGUUCCUGUCACAGUGCUCAGACUAGAGAGUUAAUAUUUAUGCAGAUGCUGCAGGAACAGGCUCUGGGGACAGACUCUCCCAGGGUCGCCCCUCAGUGGAUCGCCAGGGCUGCUUCUCUCUGCCACAGUCAUUACUUCUGCUACUGCCAUGCAUCUGCUGCUUCUGCGACUGCUGCUAUCACCACCAAUCUGGGCCCGGGUCCCAGCCCAGCUGCCCCAUCAGAUAUCCAUGGUGCCGAGGACAGCCCCAGGUGUGCCCAUGCAUACCAGAUGGCCAGGCCAACUCUUGGUGCUUCCCUUUGCCAUGCCUAUAGGCAUGAGCCUGCACGUGUACACUAAUACCUGGAAUCUCCUCUGUUCACACGCAUGCCCCAUUGUCUGAUCUGACUUCACAACACAAGGUCAAAGAUAAAAUUAUCAAGAAUUUCAAGACAAUAAAAGCAGAACAUUAAACCAAGCAUGGUAUUCCUUCUGAGAGUAGGCCCUGAGUUCACAGGUUGCAUACCCGUGAAGCUGGUCCUGCUUCGAAUUAAGUGAAUUACCAUAACUUUUGUCAUGUACGUCUUAUCUUAUUUUCUAACAAUGUGUCAUACUAAAUUAUUUAAGGUCUAUUUUCUCCAUUAAAUCAGAGGUCAGCAAACUAUGGCUCAUUGGCUGAAUCCAGCCCAUUUGUUAUUUUUAAAAUUGUUUACAUUUAAGAUGUACACCAUGAUGGAUUUUGUUGUUGUUUGUUUUUUCGUUUUUGAGACAGAGUCUUGCUCUGUUGCCCAGGCUGGAGUGCAGUGGUGCUAUCUCUGCUCACUGCCACCUCUGCCUCCUAGGUUCAAGUGAUUCCCAUGCCUCAGUCACUGAGUAGUGGGAUUACAGGAGUGUACCACUACACCUGGAUAAUUUCUGUAUUUUUAGUAGAGAUGGGGUUUCACUGUGUUGGCCAGGCUGGUCUUGAACUUCUGGCUUAUAUGAUCCACCCACCUUGGCCCCACAAUGUGUUGGAAUUACAGUUGUGAGCCACUGGCCAACAUGAUGUUUUGAUAAACAUAUACAUGGUGAAUAAUGCCUGAUACACAUAUAUAUUGUUAUAGUGAAGCAAAUUAACAUAUCCAUCAUCUCAUAUAAUUACCUUUUUGUGUGAUAAGAGUACCUAAAAUCUACUCUCUUAGCAAAUUUCCAAUAUAUAAUACCUAUUAACUAUAGUCCUCAUGUUCCACAUUAGAUUUCUGGAUUUAUUCAUCUUAUAGGAACCGCAACUUUGUACUUUUCGACCUACAUCGUUCCAUUUCCCUCACUCACCCCUCCCAUGGUCACCACCAUUUCCUCUUUGCUUUUAUGUAUUCAACUUUUUGUUCCUUCCUGUUUUUCAAUAAAGUUUUAUUGAAACACA